GGUGGCAAGCGUUGUUCGGAAUUACUGGGCGUAAAGGGCGCGUAGGCGGUCACAUUAAGUCGAAUGUAAAAUACCAAGGCUUAACCUUGGCAGGUCGUUCGAUACUGGUGGACUAGAAUGUGGAAGGGGUUGCUGGAAUUCCUGGUGUAGCGGUGAAAUGCGUAGAUAUCAGGAGGAACACCGGAGGCGAAGGCGGGCAACUGGGCCAACAUUGACGCUGAGGCGCGAAAGCUAGGGGAGCAAACAGGAUUAGAUACCCUUGUAGUCC
rnacentral:rRNA from 1 species